UCUCUCGUAGAUCAGUGGUCAGAUCAGUGGUUUGUAAAACCAAAAGUUCCGGGUUCAAUUCCCGGCAAAGGUA
rnacentral:tRNA from 1 species